rnacentral:rRNA from 1 species
GAUGAACGCUGGCGGCGUGCCUAAUACAUGCAAGUCGAGCGAACGGACGAGAAGCUUGCUUCUCUGAUGUUAGCGGCGGACGGGUGAGUAACACGUGGAUAACCUACCUAUAAGACUAGGAUAACUUCGGGAAACCGGAGCUAAUACCGGAUGAUAUUUUGAACCGCAUGGUUCAAAAGUGAAAGACGGUCUUGCUGUCACUUAUAGAUGGAUCCGCGCUGCAUUAGCUAGUUGGUAAGGUAACGGCUUACCAAGGCAACGAUGCAUAGCCGACCUGAGAGGGUGAUCGGCCACACUGGAACUGAGACACGGUCCAGACUCCUACGGGAGGCAGCAGUAGGGAAUCUUCCGCAAUGGGCGAAAGCCUGACGGAGCAACGCCGCGUGGGUGAUGAAGGUCUUCGGAUCGUAAAACUCUGUUAUUAGGGAAGAACAUAUGUGUAAGUAACUGUGCACAUCUUGACGGUACCUAAUCAGAAAGCCACGGCUAACUACGUG